rnacentral:pre_miRNA from 1 species
GGCCUACCUCUUUGGGGUGAUUGAUCGUGGAGCCCUGCGAUUGAUCGCCCCAGAGAGGGAGGCC